UGGAUCUGUGAUGACCACUGGAUGCGUAUGAUUGUUAAUUAUGACUACUGGUCUAGGAGUCUGAGGUCCAC